AUUUUUAUACGGUGUGCGGUCACACUAAGGAAAUGACAGUGCUGUUCGUGAUUUUUGUCCUUCGGAUGUUUAGCUUGUGAAAACCUCGUGUUAAAUAGUGAACAAAAAUUCUUAAUUUUAAAAGAAUUGGACGGUGAAGCUUUUGAUUCACUUUUCAACGAGAAUCUUUCGACUCGAUGAUAAAUUUGAUUUAAACAAAGUUCUACUGAACAGCUCAAAGGGAAAAAUUCUUUUAAACUAUUUUGCAAAGGGAAAACGAUUGAGCCCAAAGUAUAGAAAACUUUUGAGCCAAAUAAUAAUUGAGCAUUUGGUAGCUAGCAAUAUACAACCAAAGCAAAAUCUGUUAAAAGAAUUUUCGAAAAAUUGUCUUGUUUUUUGAGUCUGAGAUUGAGGAUACUUUUUAUAUACAAAUAAAAGGAAAAAAGCCGAAAGGAUAACUUUACAACAAUUAUUAUAAUUUUUAAUCGAAAUACAAAGAUUCCGCAACUAAUAUUAAAUACCAAACUGCUCCUGAAAAUAAGGUUUGUGGAUAGUAUAGGAGAUAACAUUGAUAUAUGUUGUUCAAAAUUCAAUGUCGAGCCGAUAGAGACAGUUUUGAAGUAUGGCAAAGGACCUACGAAUAUAGAAAGAAGUUCUUCGAAACCGCUGAGCCCUUAGAAAAUAUUUUUGACACUCUACCAAUCCUUAUGCAGUCUUUUGGGUUUGAGCUAAUAUUGGACGAUUUCAAAACCAAAAAUGAAAUGAUUUUUGAUCAGUUAUUUACAAAAUGGGAAUCCUUCAAACUAAAAUGUUUACCGCUUUUACAAUUAAAGGUAAAAGAGCUUAAAGGUAAACUCUUUCUCAAGGUCAUUGCCGGAAAGUCUGAGGACGCUCAAAAUCUUCUACUAUGGCUGUUGCACUCCGUGUUAGUUCCAACAUCGAGACGAAAGCAAGCUGACGGAACCAAAUAUAUAAAAUAGCCGAUUCCAGAAAUAAAUUUUUAAUUUGGAAAUCGACGUUUGGAGAACUGCAAGAUUACACUUCUGGUGAAAUUUACGAAAUAAAAUAUUUGAUUAUAAGCAAAUUUGACCUUAAAUAAAGAAAUGAAUUUCUUGAAAUACGAAAAAAUUACAUCAUUUAAAAUAAAAAUUCAUAUUGUAAGAAAGAAAUGCCCUUAAAGAUUAAACAAGCAGUAUUUCCUCAUAAGGAAAAAAACCUUA